rnacentral:rRNA from 1 species
UGCAAGUCGAACGAAGAUACUUAAAAUGAGAGCUUCGGCAGGAUUUUUAUUUAUCUUAGUGGCGGACGGGUGAGUAACGUGUGGGCAACCUGCCCUAUACUGGGGAAUAAUCACUGGAAACGGUGACUAAUACCGCAUGUCAUUACGGAAGGGCAUCCUUCUGUAAGAAAAGGAGUAAUUCGGUAUAGGAUGGGCCCGCAUCUGAUUAGCUAGUUGGUGAGAUAACAGCCCACCAAGGCGACGAUCAGUAGCCGACCUGAGAGGGUGAUCGGCCACAUUGGGACUGAGACACGGCCCAAACUCCUACGGGAGGCAGCAGUGGGGAAUAUUGCACAAUGGGGGAAACCCUGAUGCAGCAACGCCGCGUGAAGGAAGAAGGUUUUCGGAUCGUAAACUUCUAUCAACAGGGACGAAGAAAGUGACGGUACCUGAAUAAGAAGCCCCGGCUAACUACGUGCCAGCAGCCGCGGUAAUACGUAGGGGGCAAGCGUUAUCCGGAAUUACUGGGUGUAAAGGGAGCGUAGGCGGCACGCCAAGCCAGAUGUGAAAGCCCGAGGCUUAACCUCGCGGAUUGCAUUUGGAACUGGCGAGCUAGAGUACAGGAGAGGAAAGCGGAAUUCCUAGUGUAGCGGUGAAAUGCGUAGAUAUUAGGAAGAACACCAGUGGCGAAGGCGGCUUUCUGGACUGAAACUGACGCUGAGGCUCGAAAGCGUGGGGAGCAAACAGGAUUAGAUACCCUGGUAGUCCACGCCGUAAACGAUGAGUGCUAGGUGUCGGGGAGGAAUCCUCGGUGCCGCAGCUAACGCAAUAAGCACUCCACCUGGGGAGUACGACCGCAAGGUUGAAACUCAAAGGAAUUGACGGGGGCCC